AGACCUAGCCGCCUCCUCCUCUCUCCCUCCCUCCCGCAGCCGCCUCUCCUCCCGCGCGCCUCCUGUCCUCCCACCCACAUCGCCGCCGCCGCCGCCCACCUCCUCAAACCGCGCCGUCGGCGGCCAGCUCCGCCGCAACAAAGCCCCCCCAACGACGAUGAGCAGCAGCGGAGGGAGGACGAGGAGCCCGACGGUGGCGGCAGCGGGGAGGAGCAGCAGCAGGGCAAGGCGGCGCAGCAGCAGGCCAUGGGCGAGAUUCCUCCCCCCACCCGUCCCGCGCCUCCUCUCCUCCGACCACGCUGCCGUGCUGCGCGACGGCGAGUGGGCGCCCGCCCUCCCCGUCCACGAGCUCGUCCCCGGGCACGUCGGCGGCUCCCAAGCCCUCCUGCUCCGACCCCGCAGAGUGCUCGAGUCAUGGAGGGGCACCAGACGGUGGUGGGCGCUUGCGCCGCUGCUCCCCAUCGAGCUCGCGCGUGCGGCACAUCUGAUGGCCAACACAGCCGUCGUCGUCGCCUUCACAAUGUCACAAUGGUGAUUGUACAACUCUGCUGCCUCCAGCUCCAGCGCCCAUCUCCACUACGGUUCAUGGCUUACUUGACGAGGUCAACAGCUAAUAGAGGUGCAUCACCUCGUGCUAAAUCGUUGUUGGAGAAGUUCUCUCUUGUUGUUUCUGUUCAUCACAUUUAAUGCUUGAAGCUUGCUAAACUAGGUGGACUUUAUUUAUGUCCAGCACAAGACUUCUGCAAAGAUCAAUGCACAUCUUGAUCUAGAAUAAAGAGUAUCCAAUGGGCUCACUGACACGGAUAAUGUCGACAACAAGUGGUGUCAGCUAUGGCCUGGAGAGAGAUGUUUAGACACCCUAAGAUGGCAUGUGUCGCUGAGGAGACAUGAUCUCCGAGCAGCCCUCCUCAUAGCUCGCAGUCCAGGUCGAUGCCAAAUUCAAUUUCUAGGAGGGUUUUUGUGCUGUGGCUGCGGGUUCGUGCUAUCGGGGGAAAAUAUCUUUGGUUUGUUUCUUAUAUUGGUGAUGUGGGUGAGUUGAUUUCUGCCUGAUUUGUUCCUUUCCAUCUUGAUCUGUGUAGCGUUAAGCAUUUGAAUGGAGCAUGUAUAGGCAUGCCCCGGUUCAUCCUAGGUGAGUGUGGAUCUGUAGCUUCCUUAUGUUUGAUAGUCCACAAUAUGAAUCUUUUAGGUUAUCACUGAGGUUCAGUAAACCACGUCGGUUGACCUGUGUAUAAGUCAUUCGGCAGUCCACAAUAUGAAUCUUUUAAAUUAUAACUGGGUUUCAAUACACCAUGUUGAUUAACCUCUGUCCAAGGCGAUCACGAGAAUGGUUUGCAAAAUGCAGUAGGUAAGGAAUUUAUUUAUUUUAGUUCCUGAAUAGAUUACCUCGCCGCCUCCGCCAUCUGUGCUCGCCUUCGCGUCGUCUCCUUUAACCCUGUAGCAUCUUGUGGCUUUAUCAAAGUCAGGCCAUUAAUUGGGUUUUUAACAAAACAGAUUCCAUUUGACCUACAAAUAUAUCUGCAGUGACGUACUAUUAUUAGCAGUCAUCUAGAUACUCUACAGUUCCAGUGAUAGAUGAACUGGUCUAUCAAAUAUGCAUUGCUUUUUGUAUUGCCUAGCCCUGCUUCGAUUACAUUGUUCUGUUAUACUAGAUGUCUAUUCGCCUGUUGUGAUAGCAUAUCUGAUUAUUUAUAUUGUUUGACAUGUAUUCCGUGCAAGUCGCUUGGUUGUUUGAUGCGUUCGUGCUCGUCGGCGGGACGGUGCAAGGCGCAACUCCGACGCGGUUCCUCGCCGGUUGGACGGCGUUCAGGGUCACACAUACACAUGAUUUUUUAUUUGCUAUUUGAAACUGCAGUUUGAGACCGAAUCUCUUUUGCUAUUUGAAACUGCAGUUUUUUAAGGGCCACACAUACACAUGAUUGUGACUGGCCAAUUUUGUGUGUCCUUUUCAUGCCCAGAGUAUUGCAGGUUGCACUGCUCACUUGAACCAGCAUUACCUUCGAAACCGAAUCGAGUUAACAGUAGAUCCAAAAUGUUUUUUUUGUCAUUGGUUUGUCAAAAUGGUGUUUGUUCACACACUGUCGGAUGCUUAGUUCAGUUAAAACAAUAAUGUUGUAUGAGUAUAAGUAAUAAUACUAAUGCGCUUUCACUCAUGCUACGACCCCAGUAACAACUCUCUGAGAUGGUUGUGCUCAAAUUUAUAGUUCCUGGUUAAUGUUUUUUUAUCUUUUUACUUUCUGUUGGUUUGUUUCUUUCAGUUUGUAAGUGGUCUUGGAAUCCUGUUCACUGUUGGAAACUGUUGGACCUUGCUGUUGUUGAUUGGUUCAUAAGGUCAUUAGAGUUACCAAUCUGUCUUGAUUCUGUAAGAUUCAUGGAUCGAUUUGAGCUGGCGAGCCACUUGCACUUCUUGAAGCUACUAACAAACCAGCAAAGGUGCACAUCCCUGCAAACCAGAUUGAUCUUAAGACACUGGCUGAGCCCUGUGCAUUGAGAGCGUACCCGUUUUGCUUGAAGGUUUCAGAUGCACUGUCGUCAUAAAAUAUGGUCCCCGGGGAGUCAUGGAGGUUUGUUUCCUGCAAUAGACGUGGCAAAAAAUCUCUGCCACAUGGAGAUGGUUGCUGCUGCACUGCAUGUGGAUACAGAGGAAAGAAGUUCAGGCAAAAUUCCAUUAGGCUUUGCUCUACUCUUAGUUACCAUGAGAUUUCAUCAAUCGCUCUACAUGGUGUCGUGCUUACUCUCGACAUGCAAUGGAUUCAAGCGUGCGUAGGGAGCUUUUCUCAACCACAUAGCGACAAAUGCACGAGCCUUACGGUCUAUGGUGUCACCGGCAUGCAAGUUGCUAAUCUCCAUUGGAUCGCUGCGUGGGGUCGCACAUAGUGGUUGUGGCAAGUGGCAUUGACAGGGUGAAUUUUGUUGUUAUUUACGUCUAUUCAUCCAAAGGAAGUAGAUGAUUGAUAGAGAUUCAGAGGGAGCAAUUGAUAUAGAUAGUUGUUGUGGUUCCUAUUUCUUCAGAUUAUGUUUCUAUUGCUAUUGUGGCCUGAGGUCCAUCCCCCGUCGCCCCUCCUCUCAAGCCGCUACGGUGGCCUAUAUGUUUUAGUGGGUUCCGUCACGCCGGGCUGCCCCAGGCCCUGACCCAGGGUUUGGUGGGCGAGCUCACUACCAUCCUCCCGGUGGUCUUCUUCCUCGCUUGAUUCUUGGGCACCCCAUCUAUUCUGGACGAGCACCUUCCAUUGGUGGGUGAGGAGAUCUGGCAUGAACCACGUGCUGAGAGGAUCUCCACUUCUGCUACCUCUGCAUGCCCUUGGCCUAAUCUCACCAAACUUUGCUACACUUCACAUCAUCAGGGAAGGAGGAUGCGUCCAUCGCAAUAUCAAGCAAAUCAGAUGACAAGGUGUUUGGAGCAAGCUACUCAUAGCCAACUACAUAGUUUAGUACAAUGCUGUAUUAAAGCAGUGUAAAUAAAUAACUUGUAUGGCCUGCUUUUGGUAUAUAGUACGGAACCUUGAUCUUUAGGUAUUUCAUGCUACAAUUGUUAAUAAAUGCACCGAUGGUCUGUAACGAGAUUUGAUGUUUUGAAUUGGACCAUUACUGUUGUAAGUAAAUAUUAUCUUAUGCUUUUUGAGUAAUACUACUAGGUGUUGGAUUGUUAGACUCAAUAAAUAUAUACCAUAUGUUGGAUCGUUAAAAA